AUUGAACGCUGGCGGCAUGCCUUACACAUGCAAGUCGAACGGUAACAGGUCUUCGGAUGCUGACGAGUGGCGAACGGGUGAGUAAUACAUCGGAACGUGCCUAGUAGUGGGGGAUAACUACUCGAAAGAGUGGCUAAUACCGCAUGAGAUCUACGGAUGAAAGCAGGGGAUCGCAAGACCUUGUGCUACUAGAGCGGCCGAUGGCAGAUUAGGUAGUUGGUGGGAUAAAAGCUUACCAAGCCGACGAUCUGUAGCUGGUCUGAGAGGACGAUCAGCAACACUGGGACUGAGACACGGCCCAGACUCCUACGGGAGGCAGCAGUGGGGAAUUUUGGACAAUGGGCGCAAGCCUGAUCCAGCAAUGCCGCGUGCAGGAUGAAGGCCUUCGGGUUGUAAACUGCUUUUGUACGGAACGAAAAGCCCCGGGUUAAUACCCUGGGGUCAUGACGGUACCGUAAGAAUAGGCACCGGCUAACUACGUGCCAGCCGCCGCCGUAA
rnacentral:rRNA from 1 species